rnacentral:tRNA from 1 species
AGUGAAGUCAGCUAAUUAAGCUCUUGGGCCCAUACCCCAAAAAUGAAGGCUAAAAUCCUUCCUUUACUA